AAAAGGACCAGUGAGAGAUGAAGCUGGACGAGUUUGACUGCGAGAAUAUAGGAUAUAAUUGGAUUGGAAAGUUGAAGCCUGAACUCAUGAAUUGUUUAGGGAUGUCCACGACGUCACAACAAAGAGGUAAACAAUACAAAAGCUGGCUUUUUAAAAACCUGCAGUGGCCUAGUGGAGUUCUCUUACAUUUAACAGCGACAACGCGAUUCUUUGCAACCAACAAAAGACACCUUUUCAUCAUUGACAUGGACGCCAGCGGUGUUUGGAUUAACUCCUCUGAGACUCUACCUCCAGCCCAAAACCAGGAGAGGCCACGUGAUAAUUCUCAUGCGACAGAGGACGAGAACAUCUGGUUUAACGGCCAAUAUAGCCAUCUCCAACCAUCUUUCUUGGAGGAACUCGAAAACGUCCACUGGUCAGAGGGAUGGGACAGUGUUGCUCCUUACUCUGAGAACCUUGGAUCCAACCAACUGAUUUUCUCCAGAAACGCCGGCGUCAAUAAGUUCAGCGCCAGGGUAGAUGGAGACACACAAAACCUACUUUUUAAUGCAGUGCUGGGAAGGGAGCAUACAAGUACACCUGCCGCUUCCAGAUUGAAACAGAAGAAUGUGUAGCCGUUACCAAAGUCCUGACGUGUUAUGGCCAAGGGUCUGUCCUUUAAAUGUCUUCCUGUGGUUUGUAUCAGCUGAUAGAAUUCUCUGGUAUAGUGUUUUCUCUGAAAAUUUGGCUGGAAUGGUUUGGAUACGACUGUCCGUCAGCGUAUAAACACAUGAAUUCUGUAUCACAG
ensembl:lncRNA